rnacentral:rRNA from 1 species
UGCGUAGGCGGGAUAAUAAGUCAGUGGUGAAAUACUGCAGCUUAACUGUAGAACUGCCAUAGAUACUGUUAUUCUUGAGUAUAGUUGAGGUGGGCGGAAUGUGUCAUGUAGCGGUGAAAUGCUUAGAUAUGACACAGAACACCAAUUGCGUAGGCAGCUUGCUAAACUAUCACUGACGCUGAUGCACGAAAGCGUAGGGAGCGAACAGGAUUAGAUACCCUGGUAGUCC